GGCAAGAUGGCCGAGCGGUCUAAGGCGCUGUGUUCAGGAUAAACUCUGAGUUUCGCAGUCCGAAAGGGCGUGGGUUCGAAUCCCACUCUUGUCA